rnacentral:rRNA from 1 species
ACUCCUACGGGAGGCAGCAGUAGGGAAUUUUUCGCAAUGGAGGGAACUCUGACGGAGCAAUGCCGCGUGUGGGAAGAAGGUUUUCGGAUUGUAAACCACUGUUGUAAGGGAAGAAAGAGGUUAGUAGGAAAUGGCUAACAAGUGACGGUACCUUACCAGAAAGGGACGGCUAACUACGUGCCAGCAGCCGCGGUAAUACGUAGGUCCCGAGCGUUAUCCGGAAUUAUUGGGCGUAAAGAGCACGUAGGCGGUUAGAUAAGUUUGAUGUUAAAAACAAUGGCUCAACCAUUGGGAUGCGUUGAAAACUGUUUAACUAGAAUCUUGGAGAGGUAAGUGGAAUUUCAUGUGUAGCGGUGGAAUGCGUAGAUAUAUGAAGGAACACCAAUGGCGAAGGCAGCUUACUGGACAAAGAUUGACGCUGAGGUGCGAAAGCGUGGGUAG